AUUGAACGCUGGCGGCGUGCUUAACACAUGCAAGUCGAGCGGUAACAGGCGUAGCAAUACGUGCUGACGAGCGGCGAACGGGUGAGUAAUGCUUCGGAAUCUUCCUUGUAGUGGGGAAUAACCUGGGGAAACUCAGGCUAAUGCCGCAUACGAACCAUGGUUGAAAGCGGGGGAUCGCAAGACCUCGCGCUAUAAGAUGAGCCGAAGUCGGAUUAGCUAGUUGGUGGGGUAAAGGCCUACCAAGGCGACGAUCCGUAGCUGGUCUGAGAGGACGACCAGCCACACUGGGACUGAGAUACGGCCCAGACUCCUACGGGAGGCAGCAGUGGGGAAUAUUGGACAAUGGGGGCAACCCUGAUCCAGCGACGCCGCGUGUGUGAAGAAGGCCUGCGGGUUGUAAAGCACUUUUAGUGGGGACAAAAAGCCGAGGGCUAAUACCUUUCGGUCUUGAUUUAACCCAAAGAAAAAGCACCGGCUAACUCUGUGCCAGCCGCCGCAGUAA
rnacentral:rRNA from 1 species